UACAGAGGGUGCAAGCGUUGUCCGGAAUACUGGCGGUAAGACGUGCGCAGGCGGUUUGUUAAGUCUGUCGUGAAAUCCCCGGGCUCAACCUGGGAAUUGCGAUGGAGACUGCAAGGCUAGAAUCUGGCAGAGGGGGAUGGAAUUCCGCGUGUAGCAGUGAAAUGCGUAGAUAUGCGGAGGAACACCGAUGGCGAAGGCAAUCCCCUGGGCCUGCACUGACGCUCAUGCACGAAGCGUGGGGAGCGA
rnacentral:rRNA from 1 species